AUUCACAGUUCGAUUGCGUUUCCGGUUCUGGUCGGACCGUGCUUUUCUUGCGCUCGUGAUUUGUGUGCUGUUUUUCGCUGUUUGCGGACUUUUCGGAAGAAGAUUCAAGAUUUUUCAGAAUGAAGAUGUUUGCGUGGUUUCGCCGGAGGUUCCGACGGAAAAAUGCGGUAGCGCCGGAGGAAGGUGGUUCCUCGGACUGCUCUGAUGAGACUUUCGAGGACCGUGAACUCGACUGGGUCUCUGUCGAAUCGAUUAGUUCGGUGUCGUUUGAGGCCGUCGAGCGAGAGGCAGCGGGUGGUGAUGACCUUCCCCCAGUGCGUGUGGCGAGAGAGUUCUGAGUCCAUUCCACUUGGCCAAGGUCGUCAGGGAUCAGCCGGCCUAUGGCCUUGUUAAGGAAGGCAUAGGGAGUGACGAGUCCUCUUGGAGUUGUCUAUUUUCGCGAGGUCUGCCUCUCGGUCCGCGCUCGCGACCACGUCGCCAUCGUCUUUCGGAAGUCGGAACGAAGAAGAUUCGGAGGAGAGCGCCGCCGAAGUCGAGGAACCGCGGUUUUGUUGCUGUGGGAGGCUGCGGUUCCCUUGGCCUAGGCGGUGAUCCUCUUCGAUUUCCCCCGAUUAGUCCUUUGCACCCGGAUGCGACAUUCUGACCGGAUUCGAUACUUUUCACUCGAACAUGACCUCUUUACUCGGACUUGGUCUUCUCUUACCCGGAUGUUUUCACGGUUCUCCCGGAUGGAUUUGACUUCCGAUUGUGACCAUCCGGGCGCGACAUUCAGCCUACCUUUCUUCCCAAACAGCUGUUAUGAGGAUUGAUCUUCCGGUUACGGUAGGCUAGGCUAGGCCAGGUCCUUCGCUCUUCUCGUAACACUGUUCGGGAAGACUGUCUGAUAAAGGAACAUUUGGGAGGGAGAAGAACUUUACCGCGAAGAGGACGAAGUGGCCAUUUAUCAUGUAAGUGAAUAUUUUCCGAAAUCUCCGAUGGUAAGAACUCUUUCGUUUCAUUUUUUAACAUGUCUUAUCCUCGUAUCAUAAUUGACUGUUUUUCUGUUUAUAGACAUGCCGAAGAUGUUCUUCGAUCACACACAUACACACACACGCACAAACAUAACAUCACUGUACACGAAGAUAUACACCGUUUAACCUUUACUCGAAUUCUCGCAAUUACACUUCAAGCGCCUCGUUCUGUGUAAUUCGACACAAUGAAACAACCCGAACACUCGCUUCCCACAAAUCCAACCCCUGGUCCUCGUCCCGGGAAGUGGAAACGCCAAUUUUAAAGAUUAAAAGACUUUAAAUUGGCGGACGAAGGGGCUCUGGUAAUCACUACUCGCAUGGAUUAAUUUAAGGGAGACACAAGAGUGAAUGGAAUACAAAAUAAAAUAUAUGAAAACAAUGUAACAUAAAUCAGAAGAGAAAUGUUCUUCCAAGAGAAUAAUAAAAUAAAAUAAGCGUGUACAUAGUAGAUGAAGAAAAAAUAAUAAAAUGAAUAAUUAGCUGGUGCUCUAAAUCAAUGACGGAAAACAUAAAAAAAAAAACAUUUUUCGAUAGGUUGUCAAUAUGGUGGAAACGGAAGUUGCUGAAACGCUUGAAAAAACUAAAAAAUUAUAUUAAACUGUCUGGCAACACUUACUCGAUAUUAGUUGAGUUUACAUCACGUGACACACAUGCCGCUUUUCUCUAGUCUUUAAUUCAUCGUUGGUUUUUUUUGAUCUGUCAGUUAUGUGUCACGAAGAAAGAAAAUAACGCGGAGAAACAUAAUAAGACAUAUUUUUAAAUGUUUUCGAAGUAUUUCUCAUUCUGGACUAAAUAUGUAAAAUAUAGAAAUUGCUUACAGCCAAUUAGGAAUUUCAAUUCCUUACACGAAAAAUAUUUGGUAAAUAAAAAAGAAUUUAUUUUGUUAGUAAUAGUGAAUACGAUUAAAAUAUUUUUGCUUGUAAAUUAAAAAAUUCGUAUAGUAAAUCCCAACAGUAAUAGACUUUCUGUAUGGUCAUUAUCGUUAAUAAUUAUAUAAUUUGCCUUUCCGGAACCUAUUGAUAUAUUGUUCUUCAUGCAUAUUGUUGGUAGUUUCAAGAUGCCAGUUGUCUGUUAAUUAUGUACAUUUAAUCUCAUGCGUGCGGUCGCAUAUAUAGACGGUCGGAUUCGGGAUGGAGGAGG